UCAACCAGCUUUCCUGGGUUAUUAUCCACCAAAAAAAUAAAUAAAUAAAUAAAUAAAACUAGCUUUCUUGGGUCUUAUAAGAUCUAAGAAUAUGGUUUUUGUCUAAUUUUUUUAUUUUAUUGGUUUUGAUCAUAUUGUUUUCUAUACUCUUCGUCGCUAAGCUACAAGAAACGGUUCCCAUCCGUAAAGUAUCUCGUCUUUGCAAUCCGAUCAUCCAUUCUAUUUUCCAGGAAAAGAAGGGAAAUUUUUUCCUAAUUUUCCCGGAAAAUAAUAAAAGUUUCUUUUUUUUUUCUUUCUUCUGGAAAGGGAAGCCGAAGCCGUGCCCUACUGUUUUUAACUCAAUUUGCUAUUCCAAUCUCUCAAUUUUCCUUCUUUUUUUAAACAUUGAAAGUUUUGGGCUUUAGGGUUUUGUUUUGAAUUAGAAUGGGGCAACAACAAUCUAAGGACGAGCUACUCCAUCAGCAAGUCAGUUAUGGAAACAUCGAAGGAAUCAAAACCCUUUGCAGAGAAGGUGCAGGCCUUGAGUGGAUUGAUAGAGAAGCGAAAACCCCUCUGACUGUGGCUUGUAUGAAUCCGGAGCUCUACAAUGUGGCAAAAACUUUGAUAGAACUCGGUGCCAACGUCAAUGCCUACCGUCCUGGUCGUCAUGCUGGGACUCCUUUACAUCAUGCGGCUAAAAGAGGCCUUGAAAAUACUGUUAAGUUACUUCUUUCGCAUGGAGCAAAUGCACUGAUCAUGAAUGAUGAUUGUCAAAGUCCCCUUGAUGUUGCCAGGGCAAAAGGGCAUGGUAAUGUUGUUCGAGCAAUUGAGAGUCAUAUUUGCUUAUUCUCUGGUUGGAUGCGAGAGUUUUAUGGGCCUGGAUUUCUUGAAGUGCUGGCUCCUCAAUUAGUUUCGAGAAAAGUUUGGGUCGUUAUUUUACCAACCGGUUCACGCAACCCUACCAAGCCUUUCAAGUUGGAGCUUGCCAUAUAUCCUAGUGUUCAGGUCAUGUUGAAUGAACAGGAUGCCCAACCACGAACAGUUAUUGCAUUAUGGAAAGCUGAUUUGGAAGAACCAAAGUUACACCAGUCUGAUCCUUCAGUGAUAAUUGUUGACAAACUUGCAAUCCCAAGAGGCCGGAGGCGGAGAAGAAGAUAUUACACCUGCCAUGAGGCGAGGUUUAGGCCUGGAACAAUUAGGCAAACACGCGUUAAACUUGCACCUGCAAAUGAAAGUGACAGGCAACAACUUCAGUGGUUUUGCAAUGCAUGCAAGGGAAUUCCACAGGCAAAUCCUGCUUUUUUGCAAGAUAAUCAGACCCCAGUUGUUCCAUCUACUGCACCACCAAGUGCUGAAGAUUUAGAAUUAGCUAUGGCUCUUAGUGCUUCCAUUCAGUCUGCCAUGCAAGAGAGACCACCCCUUGUUGAUGCACAUUUGAGCUCUGAAGCAAGUACAUCAAGUACUUGGAGUAGCUCUAUGAAUACUAGCUGUCAUUGUGAUAUGGAUGCACCAAAUGCACCUGUUCUUCUGACAACUGCUAGUGAGCAGCCGAAGCAAGAAAUUGGUCCAGGUGGUAGCUUAUCUCAGCAUUCCCUGAUCCAGGACAAUGCAGCUGCCCAAAUCUCUAGGCCCCUCGAUUCUGGCCCAUCAGCUCCACCAAUUGCAGAUGAUAUUAUAGAAGAUGGUCCGAUUCACUAUCCAUCAAUUGAUUCCAGUCCUAUUGAUAUGUCAUCCCCAACUAUUGGGUGUGUCCCGGCUAAAGCUGGUGAUAAGGAGGAUGACAUUUCUUCAUCAUGCGUAAUUUGUUUGGAUGCUCCAGUGGAGGGAGCUUGUAUCCCCUGUGGCCACAUGGCUGGAUGCAUGUCUUGUCUGAAUGAGGUAAAAGCUGCGAAAGGGACAUGUCCUGUUUGCCGUGCUAAGAUUCAGCAGGUUAUAAGGCUGUAUGCUGUUUGACCACUGAAUCUGAAAAUGGGGAAGCUCUACAUGGUGUCAUAGAUAUAACUUUACGUGAUGAUCGAGUCCUUGAUCCAAAAAUUUGGGAUUAGUAACACCUUCGGUUUUCCAAACUACUUGUUUGACCAAUUUGGCAGAGGUGAUGAAGUGGCUUGCUACGGUUGAGAGAGUUUUGCUACUGCAGCAAAAGAUCAAUGUGUGCUGAUGUUUUCUCUGUUCGUUUACAAUUGAGUGAAGGUAAAAGCAACCGGAAAAAAGAAAUACUAAAAGGAACGGCAUAUGCAGAUCCUAGAUUUUCGUAACUGUUACUUUUUUCAAUCUAUCGUGGUUGUCUUUGGUUUUUGUAAGUAUAGGUAAGUAAGUUACUGUUAAAGCACAAGUUCAUAACUAAAUCCUUGUGGUUAGGCAUUGAAGCCGGAAAAACUUGGAUAUGUGUGCGGGCUUAGUGAUUGAGGUGUUAUUAAUCAGUGUAUAUUUCCUUUGUAAUGGUUGUUGCAUAAAUGAUUGAAUUGACAAUGACAUCUAAAACAAGGACUAGUUGAAAGGAGAUCUUUAUCCUUGAUAUAUGUAUGUUUCCAGUUUCGAUGAUUCUCUCAAUUACAGUUUCUUUAUUUUAUUUUUUUCA